rnacentral:rRNA from 1 species
GCGUUAACGCUUGAGGGGAGUUGGAAUUAGUACGAGAGGACUUUUCUGAACUGACCUCUGGUCUACCGGCUUUGGCACCAGCUGAAGCGCCGGGUAGCUAUGUCGGGAAGGGAUAAGCGCUGAAAGCAUCUAAGCGCGAAGCCCACCCCAAGAUUAGAUCUCCCUGGGCACUCGAUGCCCCUAAAGGUCCGUCGAAGACUACGACGUUGAUAGGCUGGGUGUGGAAGUGCAGUAAUGCAUGAAGCUAACCAGUACUAAUUGACCGUGAGGCUUGGCCAU